ACGCUCGACACCUACUGGAGGCAGCAGUGGGGAAUAUUGCACAAUGGGGGAAACCCUGAUGCAGCGACGCCGCGUGGAGGAAGAAGGUCUUCGGAUUGUAAACUCCUGUUGUUGGGGAAAAAGAGGAUGGUACCCAACAAGGAAGUGACGGCUAACUACGUGCAAGCAGCCGCGGUAAUCUGAGCGGGCUGGCAAGGC
rnacentral:rRNA from 1 species